UGGUUCUGGCAUNGAUGAAGAACGCAGCGAAAUGCGAUAAGUAAUGCGAAUUGCAGAAUUCCGUGAGUCAUCGAAUCUUUGAACGCACAUUGCGCCCUUUGGCAUUCCGAAGGGCAUGCCUGUUCGAGCGUCAUUAUCAACCCUCAAGCCUGGCUUGGCGUUGGGCAGUGGUGGUUACUCACCCGCCCCAAAGGCAACGACGGCGUCUCCACGACCCCCGGUACAACGAGCUUUUUUACGGGGCACGUACUGUGGUGGGCGUGGGGACCCGGUCUUACCAUUUAUUUCUCAGGUUGACCUCGGAUCAGGUAGGGAUACCCGCUGA
rnacentral:misc_RNA from 1 species